rnacentral:rRNA from 1 species
UACGGAGGGGGCUAGCGUUGUUCGGAAUUACUGGGCGUAAAGCGCACGUAGGCGGCUUUGUAAGUUAGAGGUGAAAGCCCGGGGCUCAACUCCGGAAUUGCCUUUAAGACUGCAUCGCUAGAAUUGUGGAGAGGUAAGUGGAAUUCCGAGUGUAGAGGUGAAAUUCGUAGAUAUUCGGAAGAACACCAGGUGGCGAAGGCGACUUACUGGACACAUAUUGACGCUGAGGUGGCGAAAAGCGUGGGGAGCAAACAGG